AGCCAAUCCAAAGACAAACGCAGCAACUGCAGGCUCAGCAGAGCUCAUUCCCCUGCCCAAAUACGUGGAGCUGUUGCUGCUGAAAUACCUGAAUAGCGUGUGCCAGCCAAGGAGACCUGGGAUGCCAAAAGUAACAUUGGAAGGGUGUGUAAAUGAUCCAACCUGUGGGAAUCACCCCUCAUCAGGCCAGAGGCUCGUCCAGCUCCGUUACAGAGCUCCUGUAAAACCUGGAGUUUGCCUGCGGUGCAAAGUAUCAGGGUGCAAUGCACCCCCUCCUCCUCCUCCUCCCAGACCCUUCCCAGGGAACAGGUUCCCUCUUCCCAGACCCUUCCCAGGAAACAGGUUCCCUCUUCCCAGACCCUUCCCAGGAAACAGGUUCCCUCCUCCCAGACCUUUCCCAGGGAAUAGGCUCCCUCCUCUCAGGCCCUUCCCAGGGAAUAGGCUCCCUCCUCUCAGGCCCUUCCCAGGGAAUAGGCUCCCUCCUCCCAGACCUUUCCCAGGGAACUGGAGAAGAGCCAGGAGAAGCACAAACGACGGCGUGGUUAUUGUCAUCGUCCCCCAGUAAUGAUGCUUCUGACCAUGACAUUCUGUUGAGCACCUCUAGAGCUGUUCGUUGCAUUCCAAGAUCUGCUGCUUAUUUCUAAAAAUAUACUAGUGGGUGUAAAUCUAAAGGUAUUUCAUCUUAAAUGAACUUGGGUUGCCUAAUUUCAGAUCUUUUGGAUCUAUGCAGCGGAUCUGUAAAAGCCUGAACUUCAGUAAAUACUCUCAGUGACAAAAAA